rnacentral:rRNA from 1 species
UACGGAGGGUGCAAACGUUGCUCGGAAUCAUUGGGCGUAAAGCGCGCGUAGGCGGCGAGGCAAGUUGGAUGUGAAAGCCCUGGGCUCAACCUAGGAUGUGCAUACAAAACUGCCUCGCUUGAAUCUCGGAGGGGGUCAGGGAAUUCCCGGUGUAGAGGUGAAAUUCGUAGAUAUCGGGAGGAACACCAGUGGCGAAGGCGGCGAUCUGGGCGAGAUACUGACGUGAGGUGCGAAAGCGUGGGGAGCAAACAGG